ACUCCUACGGGGGGCAGCAGUGGGGAAUAUUGCACAAUGGGCGCAAGCCUGAUGCAGCCAUGCCGCGUGUAUGAAGAAGGCCUUCGGGUUGUAAAGUACUUUCAGCAGUGAGGAAGGUGGGUAUGUUAAUAGCAUACUCAUUUGACGUUAGCUGCAGAAGAAGCACCGGCUAACUCCGUGCCAGCAGCCGCGGUAAUACGGAGGGUGCGAGCGUUAAUCGGAAUUACUGGGCGUAAAGCGCAUGCAGGUGGUUUGUUAAGUCAGAUGUGAAAGCCCGGGGCUCAACCUCGGAAUUGCAUUUGAAACUGGCAAACUAGAGUACUGUAGAGGGGGGUAGAAUUUCAGGUGUAGCGGUGAAAUGCGUAGAGAUCUGAAGGAUACCGGUGGCGAAGGCGGCCCCCUGGACAGAUACUGACACUCAGAUGCGAAAGCGUGGGGAGCAAACAGGAUUAGAUACCCUGGUAGGCUC
rnacentral:rRNA from 1 species